GACGAACGCUGGCGGCGUGCUUAACACAUGCAAGUGGAGCGACGAACCAGAGCUUGCUCUGGGGCAGAGCCGCGAACGGGUGAGUAACACGUGGGUCACCUACCUCGAUGACCGGGACAACCCGAGGAAACUCGGGCUAAUACCGGAUGUGCACUUUGGUGGAAAGGUAGCUUCGGCUUCCGCAUCGAGAUGGGCCCGCGGCGCAUUAGCUUGUUGGUGGGGUAACGGCCUACCAAGGCGACGAUGCGUAGCUGGUCUGAGAGGACGAUCAGCCACACUGGGACUGAGACACGGCCCAGACUCCUACGGGAGGCAGCAGUGGGGAAUCUUGCGCAAUGCGCGAAAGCGUGACGCAGCAACGCCGCGUGGGGGAAGAAGGCCUUCGGGUUGUAAACCUCUUUCAGUAGGAACGAAGCGCAAGUGACGGUACCUACAGAAGAAGCACCGGCCAACUACGUGCCAGCAGCCGCGGUAACAC
rnacentral:rRNA from 1 species